AUUGAACGCUGGCGGCAGGCCUAACACAUGCAAGUCGAACGAGUGGCGGACGGGUGAGUAAUGUCUGGGAAACUGCCUGAUGGAGGGGGAUAACUACUGGAAACGGUAGCUAAUACCGCAUACCAUCGGAUGUGCCCAGAUGGGAUUAGCUAGUAGGUGGGGUAAAGGCUCACCUAGGCGACGAUCCCUAGCUGGUCUGAGAGGAUGACCAGUCACACUGGAACGGUGCCACGGUCCAGUCUCCUACGGUAGGCAGCAGUGGGGAAUAUUGCACAAUGGGCGAAAGCCGGAUGCAGCCAUGCCGCGUGUAUUAAGAAGGCCUUUGGGUUGUAAAGUACUUUCAGCGGGGAGGCGUUACCCGCAGAAGAAGCACCGGCUAACUCCGUGCCAGCAGCCGCGGUAAUAC
rnacentral:rRNA from 1 species